ACGCGGCCGCCCACCCGCCCUCUCGCGGCGGGCUCCUGCGCGGCUGCUCUUCCCCGGUCGGACGGAGAGCGGCAGUGUGUCCUCGCUCCGCACGCUCGCUGCGUCUCCCCCACCCCCGCCCCGCGGACACAGCUGCUCGCCAGCCCCGCGCCGCGCCGCGCCGCGCCGGAGAGCGUAGUGGCUGGCGGCGGCGGGAAAGGGUUGCGGACCCGCGGCGCUUACUCGACGACACGGCCCGGGGGCUUCGACGCCCCGCUCCCGCAGCAGGUACUUUAUUUGUGGGAAAGAGAUUACGGACCUGAAUAUUGCAGGUGCUGAGAUGUAAGAAGACUGCUGUAGAGUCGCAGAUGACAAUCUUUGGCCUUCCUAAUCACAUGAGUAUUGUCAAUGCCAGCCAGACAGUGAGUACUUCUAAGAUUGGGGGUGGGGUGGGGGAAUAUUUUACAUAUAGGUUUUCAAACUUCGAUUUACAUAUUUGAGUGAUUACAAGAAAAAUCAUGAGAAAGCAAAUUUCACAUUUUUGUUACUAGGUAUUUGGAAGGGCUGUGGCAGCUUAAUUAUUGGUGCCCUAGUUUUUCCAUUUAGUGACUGUUUGAGUCUCUCCUUAAGACACCCCCCAACCCCCCAUACCC
rnacentral:lncRNA from 1 species